GACGAACGCUGGCGGCGUGCUUAACACAUGCAAGUCGUACGGUAAGGCCCUUUCGGGGGUACACGAGUGGCGAACGGGUGAGUAACACGUGAGUAACCUGCCCACAACUUUGGGAUAACGCUAGGAAACUGGUGCUAAUACUGGAUAUGUGCUCCUGCUGCAUGGUGGGGGUUGGAAAGCUCCGGCGGUUGUGGAUGGACUCGCGGCCUAUCAGCUUGUUGGUGGGGUAGUGGCCUACCAAGGCGGCGACGGGUAGCCGGCCUGAGAGGGUGACCGGCCACAUUGGGACUGAGAUACGGCCCAGACGCCUACGGGAGGCAGCAGUGGGGAAUAUUGCACAAUGGGCGCAAGCCUGAUGCAGCAACGCCGCGUGCGGGAUGACGGCCUUCGGGUUGUAAACCGCUUUCAGCAGGGACGAAGCUUUUUGUGACGGUACCUGCAGAAGAAGCACCGGCUAGCUACGUG
rnacentral:rRNA from 1 species